rnacentral:pre_miRNA from 1 species
AAAAGGGUCUUAUAAUUAGGGACGGAGGUAGUAUUGAUUGGACGGCUACUGAUGAUCUGAAUGCAUGACAUGAAUACAUUUUUUUCUUUGACAUUAACAAAUCCUGUGGCCGUUUCUCUUUGUCUUUUAUUAUGUUAGCCCGUUUCCCUC